CAGCAUUGGCCAUCAUUGGUAGGCCAAUGACGACUUGAAUGAAGAAAUUUUGACUGCAAAUAUCUUCAUUAAUGGAAGAAAUGUUGAUUGUAAAUGCAGCAAUGACAUUGUUCAUAAUGUCAUGCUUUUCUNNNNNNNNNUUACUUGAGGGUUUGAAAAAAGUGCUGCAAUGUGGUUUUAUGGGAGCCAGAAAUGGUGGGCCAAUGAUGACUCUCAGAAGUUGAAGGAGAAAAAGAAAAAGAAAUAGAAAUAUAAAUAGAGUUGACUAAUUGUUGUCAGCUGGUCCAAGAGGACUUUGAGAGGAUAAGUGUUUUCCCAUUACACACAUGAUUUUUAAAACAAUUAAAAUAAGGAGCUGUUGGGACUGCUACCUCUAGUUUGGCCCAUUUCCUAGGUGCUGUUUCAAGGUCACACCUGGUUUUUGGACUUUUGUCCCCCACAUCAUUUUUGAAACUCAUAACUGUUGGCAAACCUGUGAGUAAUUAUGUUGGCUUU
rnacentral:misc_RNA from 1 species